CCAGCGCCUGUGAAACCACAUGGCCGCCGCCAUGAUCUGGCCGCGUGUGUUCCAGAGAUGCCGCGGAGCUCUUUAAGAUAAACUCCGGGCUGUAUCUCUCCGAAAAACAAGGAAGGUUGAGACCGUUGUGCCCGACCAGUCUGUCAGCAUCCCGUUGUGGGGAUCCUUCACUGAGCAGUCCUACUGGAUCAGAGGCUGGUUCGACUGACUUAGGGAAACACACCAACAGUGUAAGGGAGACCCCUCAGCAGGUCUUCCCCUUUACCCACUGUGUUACCUGCUGCUGCCGACUGGUAGCGUUCGCCAAGGAUUCACACUAACAGUUUACGGAAUAGCACUCUUUAUUAAUAUAAAUUGUGACGGGUUACGGUUCGAAGAUUGUCGGUGAUAGUGUCUGACUGCAAAAAUAUAUCUGAAGGAAUAUACAGACAAGCUCUAAUCCCCAAUAAAAUGUUCAGCGUGCAUAGAGUAUGAUUCUUAUCCAACACGCAUCUCUAUGGGGGAGAAGACAGGUUGAGCCCAUCAACUGAUCCCAGCAGCUAUGAUGGAGUCUUCCCUAACUUUUCCCCAUUCUCGACUUAUUUUUAUAGUAUUUCUGUGUGUUUAGGUGGAGCUUGAGUGACCCUAGUCAUGCAUACUUUUGUUACUGAUUGGUGUAAAAUUCUCUUGCUUUGCUUUUAAAGAUACAGUCAAAAAGAAUAUAGAGCACAUGCCCAGUGAGGGGUGGUUGCGCUUUGGAGGUGGGUAACUUUGGGAUGGAGGUGUACGUUAAUAUUAUUAUUAGGCUUUAAUGAAGCAAGUUCACCUAAGGAGAGUGAUUUCACCACAGUUGCUGCCUCAGCAGUAAGACAUCUUCCCCUAUCUCCCUUGGUUGACAGGUGGUAUGCCGUUUAUCAGCUGCAAAGUGCCGUCGAGUUCCCUUCCCUGCAAGGAUUUCUGCAGAGCCUGGCCUUCGCUCUGCUCCACCCUCCGUUCCAUCCCCCUUAGCAGGUGUGUGUGUGUAUGGGGAAUCAUCACGGAAUAGGUUUCAAACCAUGCCAACUGCAUUCCACCCAGGGAGCAGCAACUGUGAUUUACCCUAUAAUUCCCGCACUGUUAUAACUCCUGUGAGGAUGCUAAUAUAACCCCUAAGUUUCCUCUAAUUGAAUCCCCAGUUACCGGUCCACAGGGUCCCCGGUCAUUUUCCCACACCGAGCUUUGCACUGGUAGCUAGAAAGGUGUUGAUCACACCCCAGCGUUUUGGCUACUGCUGGGCAGUGUUGGCACAGCAUCAGCGCUGUCUCUCCAACAUUCUGUCCCUCAUCAGUAGGCUGGGGGUGGGCAAGGUCCUGGGAGGAGACACAACCAGGACAGCUGACCCAAACUGGCCAGAGGGCUAUUCCAUACCAUAUGACAUCAGCCCAGAAAUAAAAGCUAAGUUAAGGAGGGGGAAGGGGGCACAUUCCUUAUUUACAACGUUUGCCUUUCGGAGCAACCCCUACGCGUGCUGGAGCCCUGCUUCUUAGAAAGUGGUCGGACAGUGCUUGCUGAUGGGAACUAGAGGAUAUAAUUAUUUGUUUUUCCUGUUUGCUUUUUCGUGCAAAAACCUUCUCUUUUCCUUUAGUAAACUGCCUUAUCUCA